rnacentral:rRNA from 1 species
UUGCAGUUAAAAAGCUCGUAGUCGGAUUACAGUAUUAGGCCCUUCUUCCAAUACGGUUGCUAGUGGUUUUUACUUCCUUAACAGAAUCUUUCAUCUCAUUAAUUUGGGGUGUUUGGGGCCUGUUUCUUUUACUUUGAGAAAAUUAGAGUGUUCAAAGCGGGUUUUCGCCUGGAUAUUACUCUUGGAAUAAUAAUAUAGGACUUUGGUUCUUUUUUGUUGGUGACUUAGAACCGAAGUAAUGAUUGAUAGGGACAGUUGGGGUCAUUCGUACUAUGAAGCGAGAGGUGAAAUUCAUGGACCUUUGUAUGACGAACUACUGCGAAAGCAUUUGAUUAGGAUGUUCCCGUUGAUCAAGAACGAAAGUUGGGGGAUCGAAGACGAUCAGAUACCGUCGUAGUCUCAACCAUAAACUAUGCCAGCUAGGGAUUGGAGGAAGAUACAUUUUUACGUCUCCUUCAGCACCUUAUGAGAAAUCAAAGCAUUUGGGUUCCGGGGGGAGUAUGGUCGCAAGGCUGAAAACUUAAA